AUGAAUUUGCUUGUAUUUUUCUCUAGUCCAGCAUCAGCACCUGCCUGUAUGCACGAAUCGCUGGUGUUUCUUUCUCUUUUUUUUAUUUGCAAAACUGAGCAAACUAAGAAAAUGGAAACACAGGCUUCCUCCAGGUCUUACUUCACAUUAUUCGCAGUCACGAAAGUCAAGGUGCCAGAGCGCAGCUCUCCCACGAUCCUCUCCUGCUGCAGGGACGCGGGCACGCCGCAGCCCCCGCGGCUGCCUGGGGCGCUCCCGGGGCUGGGGGCUGCCAGGGGCCCCGGGGCCGCCCCGCUCGGGAAGCGGGACAGAGCGCGCUGGCGGGGCCGCCGCCGCAGGCCGCUUGUGCCCUCUGCCGGGUCUGCGCUCGCCUUGCCCCGCGCUCGGCCCCAAACCUGCCCCCAUCUCUGGGAACCCGGCCACGAGGGAUGGGGRGCCUGCGCUUCGGCCCACUUGUCUUGCGAGCCUGGAGCAAGAACCCAAGAGCUGGCACCCCGUGGCUACAGCUGCACUGAGCUCAUGGCGACCGCUCUUCCGUUAUUUCCAGCACCCUGCUCUUUAAAAAUGCAGGUUUGGCCUGGCCUUGAGCAUGCUCCGGCAUCCAGGGAGCAGCAGGCAAGUUCUGCAGGAGCCCGCAGAGAAAGCAGGCCAGCACCAGCGAGGAGGUGGUGGAAUAGCUGCGUCUGCAGCAGGAUGGGAGCAGGCUCCUGCUGUCCUCCUGCAGGGAGAAAGCCCUGUCUGCCCGAGCAGCGCUGCCCGGGGCUGUCCUUCCCCAGAGCUGCUCCUGCCCCUGCCCCAGAGCUGCUCCUGCCCCUGCCCCGGAGCUGCUCCUGCCCCUGCCCCAGAGCUGCUCCUGCCCCUUCCCCGGGGCUGCUCCUGCCCUUCCCCGGGGCUGCUCCUGCCCCUCCCUGGAGCUGCUCCUGCCCCUUCCCCGGGGCUGCUCCUGCCCCUUCCCCAGAGCUGCUCCUGCCCCUGCCCCGGAGCUGCUCCUGCCCUUCCCUGGAGCUGCUCCUGCCCUUCCCCUCCCGCUGGGCCGCCUCUUUGGUGAUGCGCAGCUUGGCCCCGGCUCCGUAA
rnacentral:lncRNA from 1 species